UUGAACGCUGGCGGCAUGCCUUACACAUGCAAGUCGAACGGUAGAGGGGCAACCCUUGAGAGUGGCGAACGGGUGAGUAAUAUAUCGGAACGUGCCCAGUCGUGGGGGAUAACGCAGCGAAAGCUGCGCUAAUACCGCAUACGAUCUAUGGAUGAAAGCGGGGGAUCGCAAGACCUCGCGCGAUUGGAGCGGCCGAUAUCAGAUUAGGUAGUUGGUGGGGUAAAAGCCCACCAAGCCGACGA
rnacentral:rRNA from 1 species